rnacentral:tRNA from 1 species
ACCUCGCUGGCUCAGUCGAUAGAGCAUGUGACUCUCGAUCUCAAGGUUGUAAGUUUGAGCCCCAUGUUGGGUG